rnacentral:rRNA from 1 species
UACGUAGGGGGCAAGCGUUGUCCGGAAUCAUUGGGCGUAAAGCGCGUGUAGGCGGCUCGGUAAGUCUGCUGUGAAAGUCCAGGCUCAACCCUGGGAUGCCGGUGGAUACUGUCGAGCUCGAGUCCGGAAGAGGCGAGUGGAAUUCCUGGUGUAGCGGUGAAAUGCGCAGAUAUCAGGAGGAACACCAAUGGCGAAGGCAGCUCGCUGGGACGGUACUGACGCUGAGACGCGAAAGCGUGGGGAGCGAACAGG